rnacentral:rRNA from 1 species
UACGGAGGGUGCAAGCGUUAAUCGGAAUUACUGGGCGUAAAGCGUGCGUAGACGGUAGCGUAAGUCAGAUGUGAAAGCCCCGGGCUCAACCUGGGAAUUGCAUUUGAGACUGCUCUGCUCGGUGCGGAAGAGGGAAGCGGAAUUUCCGGUGUAGCGGUGAAAUGCGUAGAUAUCGGAAGGAACACCAGUGGCGAAAGCGGCUUCCUGGUCCGACACCGACGUUCAGGCACGAAAGCGUGGGGAGCAA